rnacentral:rRNA from 1 species
GUAGGGAAUCUUCCACAAUGGACGAAAGUCUGAUGGAGCAACGCCGCGUGAGUGAUGAAGGGUUUCGGCUCGUAAAACUCUGUUGUUGGAGAAGAACGGGUGUCAGAGUAACUGUUGACAUCGUGACGGUAUCCAACCAGAAAGCCACGGCUAACUACGUGCCAGCAGCCGCGGUAAUACGUAGGUGGCAAGCGUUGUCCGGAUUUAUUGGGCGUAAAGCGAGCGCAGGCGGUUUUUUAGGUCUGAUGUGAAAGCCUUCGGCUUAACCGGAGAAGUGCAUCGGAAACCGGGAGACUUGGAGUGCAGAAGAGGACAGUGGAACUCCAUGUGUAGCGGUGAAAAUGCGUAGAUAUAUGGAAGAACACCAGUGGCGAAGGCGGCUGUCUGGUCUGCAACUGACGCUGAGGCUCGAAAGCAUGGGUAGCGAACAGGAUUAGAUACCCUGGUAGUCCAUGCCGUAAACGAUGAGUGCUAAGUGUUGGAGGGUU